CCUUUGAGUUUUAGCCUUGCGGCCGUACUCCCCAGGCGGGGCGCUUAAUGCGUUGGCUACGGCACGGAUCCCGUGGAAGGAAACCCACACCUAGCGCCCACCGUUUACGGCGUGGACUACCAGGGUAUCUAAUCCUGUUCGCUACCCACGCUUUCGCUCCUCAGCGUCAGUUACUGCCCAGAGACCCGCCUUCGCCACCGGUGUUCCUCCUGAUAUCUGCGCAUUUCACCGCUACACCAGGAAUUCCAGUCUCCCCUGCAGUACUCGAGUCUGCCCGUAUCGCCUGCAAGCCCGCAGUUGAGCUGCGGGAUUUCACAGACGACGCGACAAACCGCCUACGAGCUCUUUACGCCCAGUAAUUCCGGACAACGCUCGCACCCUACGUAUUACCGCGGCUGCUGGCACGUAGUUGGCCGGUGCUUCUUCUCCCACUACCGUCACUUGCGCUUCGUCAUGGGUGAAAGAGGUUUACAACCCGAAGGCCGUCAUCCCUCACGCGGCGUCGCUGCAUCAGGCUUGCGCCCAUUGUGCAAUAUUCCCCACUGCUGCU
rnacentral:rRNA from 1 species